rnacentral:rRNA from 1 species
UUGAACGCUGGCGGCAUGCCUUAACACAUGCAAGUCGAACGGCAGCAGCAGGUAGCAAUACUGGGCUGGCGAGUGGCGGACGGGUGAGUAAUGCAUCGGAUACUACCCAAUCGUGGGGGAUAACGCUAGCGAAACUUAGCUAAUACCGCAUACGAUCUACGGGAUGAAAGCAGGGGGACCGCAAGGCCUUGCGCGGAUGGACGAACCGAUGGCAGAUUAGCUAGUUGGUAGGGUAAUGGCCUACCAAGGCGACGAUCGCUAGCUGGUCUGAGAGGACUGAUCAGCCACACUGGAACUGAGACACGGUCCAGACUCCUACGGGAGGCAGCAGUGGGGAAUAUUGGACAAUGGGCGCAAGCCUGAUCCAGCCAAUGCCGCGUGUAGUGAAGAAGGCCUUCGGGUUGUAAAGCACUUUUACAGGAAGCGAAAUAGCUACUGGCUAAUAAACGAGUGGGCGCAUGACGGUACCUGAGGAAUAAGCACCGGCUAACUACGUGCCAGCAGCCGCGGUAAUACGAAGGGUGCAAGCGUUAAUCGGAAUUACUGGGCGUAAAGCGUGCGUAGGCGGUGAGUUAAGUCUGUUGUGAAAUCCCCGGGCUCAACCUGGGAACUGCAUCUGGAUACUGGCAUUGCUAGAGUGCUGCUAGAGGGGAUGGAAUUCCCGGUGUAGCAGGUGAAAUGCGUAGAGAUCGGGAGGAACAUCAGUGGCGAAGGCAGGCCCCUGGCUCAACACUGACGCUGAGGCACGAAAGCGUGGGGAGCAAACAGGAUUAGAUACCCUGGUAGUCCACGCCCUAAACGAUGCGAACUGGAUGUUGGUCUCAACUCGGAGAUCAGUGUACGAAGCUAACGCGUAAGUUCGCCGCCUGGGGAGUACGGUCGCAAGACUGAAACUCAAAGGAAUUGACGGGGGACCCGCACAAGCGGUGGAGUAUGUGGUUUAAUUCGAUGCAACGCGAAGAACCUUACCUGGCCUUCGACAUGUCUGGAAUCUUGCCAGAGAUGGCGGAGUGCCUUCGAGAGAAUCAGUAACACAGGUGCUGCAUGGCUGUCGUCAGCUCGUGUCGUGAGAUGUUGGGUUAAGUCCCGCAACGAGCGCAACCCUUGUCAUUAGUUGCUAGCAUGUAAUGGUGGGCACUCUAAGGAGACUGCCGGUGACAACCGGAGGAAGGUGGGGAUGACGUCAAGUCCUCAUGGCCCUUAUAGGUGGGGCUACACACGUACAUACAAUGGCUGGUACAAGAGGGUUGCCAUACCCGCGAGGUGGAGCUAAUCCCAGAAAGCCGAGUCCAGUCCGGAUCUGCAGUCUGCAACUCGACUGCAUGAAGUCGGAAUCGCUAGUAAUCGUAGGAUCAGCUAUGCUGCCGGUGAAUACGUUCCCGGGCCUUGUACACACCGCCCGUCACACCAUGGGAGCUGAGUUGCUGCCAGAAGUAGUUAGUCCUAACCGCAAGGAGGGACGACGUACCACGGCAGUGGCUCAUGACUGGGGUG